rnacentral:ncRNA from 1 species
UGAUUGAUUUAAAUUCUAUACUGUUUGAAUUUUUUAGUUUACUUAUAUUUUAUAAUUAAAAGUUUUAUUCUUGCUUAAAUAUUUACUUUUUCUUUGAUUUAUAUGUAAGUUUUGUUAGACUAAAUGUUCUGUUUGCAGUAAUUUGAUUUAAUUAAUCAAGUGAUUUUGGAUUUAGCAAUUGAUUUAGUAUUGGCAUAAUUCGUGCCAGCAGCCGCGGUUAUACGAUUGAUACAAGUAAAUAUUAUUGGUUAAUAUAGAUAAUUAUAUUUUGAGAUAAAUUUAAAGUUUUUAUGGUGAAAUUUAAAAUUUUUUUAUAUUUCUUUUUAUGAUUCUGUGAAACUUAAAUAAUAAACUAGGAUUAGAUACCCUAUUAUUUUAAGUGUUAAUUAAACUUACCAGGGUAUUAUUAGUUAAGGUCUUUAAACCCAAAGAAUUUGGCGGUAUCUCAUUCCGUUCAGAGGAACCUAUCCCGUGAUUGAUAGUACACACGAUUAACUUUACUUAAUUUAUUUGUUUGUAUAUCUCCGUUAUCAGAAGAUCUUUUUAGAGUUAUAAUUUUCUUGAUUUAUAAUUAUAAAGUAUUUCAGGUCAAGGUGCAGCUUAUAGUUAAGAGGAGAUGGGUUACAAUAAGUUUUUGUUUAUAACGGAUUUGAUAGUGAAAUAUUAUUAAUGAAGGUGGAUUUGAUAGUAAUUUGACAUAUUUAGUUUAAUUGAUAUUGGCUCUGAGGUGUGUACACAUCGCCCGUCGCUCUCAUUAUUAAUAUUUACCAAUUUAUUUUUAAGGUAAAAUUUAAGCUAGAUGAGAUAAGUCGUAACAUAGUAGAUGUACUGGAAAGUGUAUCUAGAAAGAGUUAC